AUUCCCGUUUCGGCAUGCUUUACACAUGCAAGUCUAGCGGCAGCGGGGGUGCUUGCACCUGCCGGCGAGCGGCGAACGGGUGAGUAACGCAUCGGAACGUACCCAGUCGUGGGGGAUAGCCCGGGGAAACCCGGAUUAAUACCGCAUACGCCCUGAGGGGGAAAGCGGGGGAUCUUUAGGGACCUCGCGCGAUUGGAGCGGCUGAUGUCGGAUUAGCUAGUUGGUGGGGUAAAGGCUCACCAAGGCGACGAUCCGUAGCUGGUCUGAGAGGAUGAUCAGCCACAUCGGGACUGAGACACGGCCCGAACUCCUACGGGAGGCAGCAGUGGGGAAUUUUGGACAAUGGGCGCAAGCCUGAUCCAGCCAUGCCGCGUGAGUGAAGAAGGCCUUCGGGUUGUAAAGCUCUUUCAGUUGGGAAGAAACGGUGCGCUCUAACAUAGCGCGCUACUGACGGUACCGACAGAAGAAGCACCGGCUAACUACGUGCCAGCAGCCGCGGUAAUACGUAGGGUGCGAGCGUUAAUCGGAAUUACUGGGCGUAAAGCGUGCGCAGGCGGUUGUGUAAGACAGGUGUGAAAUCCCCGGGCUUACCUGGGAACUGCGCUUGUGACUGCACGGCUAAGUACGGCAAGGGGGGUGGAAUUCCACGU
rnacentral:rRNA from 1 species